rnacentral:rRNA from 1 species
GCAAGUCGAGCGCUCUCUUCGGAGGGAGCGGCGGACGGGUGAGUAACGCGUAAGAAUCUACCUAGUAGUGGGGGACAACUCGAGGAAACUCGAGCUAAUACCGCAUACGCCCUACGGGGGAAAGCGGGGGACCUUCGGGCCUCGCGCUAUUAGAUGAGCUUGCGUUGGAUUAGCUUGUUGGUGAGGUAAUGGCUCACCAAGGCUACGAUCCAUAGCUGGUCUGAGAGGAUGAUC